rnacentral:rRNA from 1 species
AGUGAACGCUGGCGGUAGGCCUAACACAUGCAAGUCGAACGGCAGCACAGUAAGAGCUUGCUCUUACGGGUGGCGAGUGGCGGACGGGUGAGGAAUACAUCGGAAUCUACUUUUUCGUGGGGGAUAACGUAGGGAAACUUACGCUAAUACCGCAUACGACCUACGGGUGAAAGCAGGGGAUCUUCGGACCUUGCGCGAUUGAAUUAGCCGAUGUCGGAUUAGCUAGUUGGCGGGGUAAAGGCCCACCAAGGCGACGAUCCGUAGCUGGUCUGAGAGGAUGAUCAGCCACACUGGAACUGAGACACGGUCCAGACUCCUACGGGAGGCAGCAGUGGGGAAUAUUGGACAAUGGGCGCAAGCCUGAUCCAGCCAUACCGCGUGGGUGAAGAAGGCCUUCGGGUUGUAAAGCCCUUUUGUUGGGAAAGAAAGGCAGCAGGUUAAUACCCCGCUGUUCUGACGGUACCCAAAGAAUAAGCACCGGCUAACUUCGUG